rfam:Aspergillus flavus NRRL3357 scf_1106286419368 genomic scaffold, whole genome shotgun sequence.
GGGCUUGUAGCUCAGUGGUAGUAGCGCUCGCUUUGCAUGCGAGAGGUCAGGGGUUCAAUCCCCCUCGAGUCCA